rnacentral:rRNA from 1 species
UACAGAGGGGGCAAGCGUUGUUCGGAAUUACUGGGCGUAAAGGGCGCGUAGGCGGCCUGCUAAGUCGAACGUGAAAUCCCCGGGCUCAACCCGGGAACUGCGUCCGAUACUGGUAGGCUUGAAUUCGGGAGAGGGAUGCGGAAUUCCAGGUGUAGCGGUGAAAUGCGUAGAUAUCAGGAGGAACACCGGUGGCGAAGGCGGCAUCCUGGACCAAUAUUGACGCUGAGGAGCGAAAGCCAGGGGAGCAAACGGG